UACGAAGGGGGCUAGCGUUGUUCGGAAUCACUGGGCGUAAAGGGCUCGUAGGUGGCCAACUAAGUCGGACGUGAAAUCCCUCAGCUUAACUGGGGAACUGCGUCCGAUACUGGAUGGCUUGAGUUUGGGAGAGGGAUGCGGAAUUCCAGGUGUAGCGGUGAAAUGCGUAGAUAUCUGGAGGAACACCGGUGGCGAAGGCGGCAUCCUGGACCAACACUGACACUGAGGAGCGAAAGCCAGGGGAGCAAACGGG
rnacentral:rRNA from 1 species